CGGUGAAUACGUUCCCCGGGCCUUGUACACACCGCCCGUCAAACCCAUGGGAGCUGGGGGCACCCGAAGUCGCCGAUGAGGCGCCUAAGGUGAACUCAGUGACUGGGGUU
rnacentral:rRNA from 1 species